AAAAAAAACAACAAAUGUUUUUUUUCCUUGUAAAUAUGGCGGUGAAGUUAGUUUUAGGUUGGAUAUAUUUUCCUGUAAAUACGGCGGUGAAGUUAGUUUCAGGUUGGAUAUAUUUUCCUGUAAAUACGGCGGUGAAGUUAGUUUCAGGUUGGAUAUAUUUUCCUGUAAAUACGGCGGUGAAGUUAGUUUCAGGUUGGAUAUAUUCUCCUGUAAAUAUGGCGGUGAAGUUAGUUUCAGGUUGGAUAUAUUUUCCUGUUAAUACGGCGGUGAAGUUAGUUUCAGGUUGGAUAUAUUUUCCUGUAAAUACGGCGGUGAAGUUAGUUUCAGGUUGGAUAUAUUUUCCUGUAAAUAUGGCGGUGAAGUUAGUUUCAGGUUGGAUAUAUUUUCCUGUUAAUACGGCGGUGAAGUUAGUUUCAGGUUGGAUAUAUUUUCCUGUAAAUACGGCGGUGAAGUUAGUUUCAGGUUGGAUAUAUUUUCCUGUAAAUACGGCGGUGAAGUUAGUUUCAGGUUGGAUAUCUGACGGACAUUCUCUGAGGAUCUACCGGUGUCUUCUCACUCUCCAUAACCGGGAAUAACAACAGCAGCGCGGUUAAAUCUACUCGACACCCUCACUGUCAACGUCGGUGUUGAAUAAGGGACCGUCAAUAAAUUACCGGUUGAUGUUCUCAGAAAAGGCUGUUUUCCUUCAAUAGCUUCACUGUCAUGUGACCAAAAGACCUAAAAUUGAUUUCUAAUAAUAGUACUAAGGUCGAUCAAUAAGACAAACAUUAUUUGAU